rnacentral:piRNA from 1 species
UGAUGGGAGCUUCAGGUUCUUGCCAAA